UGUAGGAGAAAAGCCCAGUGAAGCAAAAGCUUCUGUCCUUUUAUUUUUGCUCUUAACAUGUAAAAAUAAUAGAAGCACCCGCUGCCUGCUGGGCUCGUUAAAUUAGUCUUUUUAUUUUCAUAAAUCACUGCGGUAGAAUCUGAAUUAUUUACUCAGCAAACUCGAGGCUACAUUGAUCUCCCCUCUCCGGUUGCUCGGAGCCCAUUUCUGCAUUGGUUUUGGAGCAGUUUCCCUCCUGCCUUGCAUUGGGGCCACCUUUGCAGGUCUCACCCCAGCGGCUGUGGGGUGGCUGCAAACUUCAAAAGCUGCCUGGAAUGCCGGCCCUGUGCAGCUCUGCUGCCGCUAAAUUAUGCAUCAGCACACAGCAGAUCAAACACCUCCAUAUCAUGCGCUCGUGGGUCUUUGGCAAAGCAAUAAGAACCUCAGCAUUCCUUCCUCAGUAAUACGUGGGGCGGUUGCUCUGCACGCUGGAGAGUAACGGUGUCGGGGUGUGGGGGUGCGCGUGUAAUUUUCUUAAGUGAAGCACUUCAAUCAAAGCUUCAUUCUACUGUAAACCCAAUUAGCUUCAGUCUCUGCCAAGUCAGCUCGGCUGUCUGCAGGAAUGUAUGUACAGCUAUGAAUAAUUGCUACACCCGGUUUUCUUUCCAUCUAAGAAACGCCACGAGGCUUUUGCUACCACCAGGUAAACCCUCUGCACGUGUCUCUGAGGUUGCAGACGAAGACAUCUGCUCAGAAAUGGUAAAUGUGUUUGAAUAGUGCUCUGUGUGUGCAGAGGCUCAAUAAGAAGCAUGCCCUUUCUUUGCUUUGGAGCAGAAGGUCGCUGAACCCAAAUCUGCACUCCUUGGAGCCAUCAGGGCGCUGCCUUUGGCUGUGUGGGAGCAGGGAGGAGCACUUCUAUGGCAUCAUAACAUGCUGCUGCAGAACGAGCCCAUUACUGCAGGAAAACACCAGCGGGGCAUCCUCUGUGUCAUGCAAGAGGAAAGGCAGGUACAGAAGUGAGUGCCUGGUGUGACACCUAUGAACGGAGCUGCAACAGCACAGGAGUGACAGCGUGGUUGCACAGCAGAACGCAGUGCCAUGCUGCUCCUCACAGCUCCAGCUUCCCUGCUCCUGGCACUGCCUCAGAAUACAGCUUCAUCAAGAGAUGCCAAUGAUGUGAGAACAUGGAGCUGCAAUGGGUGCAAUGCUGCGGGGCUGCACUGUGACUCCACCGUCGUCCCUACCCUCCAUCACCACAGCAACCUCCUUUGCCUGCCAACAUCUGGCUAAAAGAACUUGCCAAAGCCAGUGAAGUGGCAGUGCCUCAUAUAACCCCAUGCCUUAUGCAAGAGCACAGGCAGCAAAACGCAGAGAUCCUGGCUCUGGUCACAGCACAGCUGCUUCAGCCUUUACAGAGCUGGACCCCCACGGCCACAAUAUUUGAACAGAUGUUUUAAAGUAAGUUUCAGAAAGGACAUAUGAAUGUGUUUCCUCCUCAAAGUCUAUCACUUAAAUGUG